rnacentral:ncRNA from 1 species
CAAAACGCUGAGAACGGGAAAAGUAGCCCUUUGCAGCGCCAUCACAGAGAGGUUUGCCGCCGGCUGAAAGCAAACCAUGGCCGAAAGCGCGAAGUUCGCCCGCGAGCGGCGCGGCUGAAGCUGUGCGUUGUAGGCCGCGACGGGACGCCCCGUUACAGGCGCGAGAGUGUCCAUGCGGGCUUGCCGUAUGGGAAUUUGGGUGGUACCACGGAUUGGCGUUCUGCCGUUCGUCCCUUUG